rnacentral:lncRNA from 1 species
UGGCCUCUUUUAUUAAUAGAAAUACCAAUAUUCUCACAUACAAUUCUGGAAUCAAAAUAUCCUUUAAGAAAGUUCAUGUUGGCUUCCACGAGAACUAUCACUUAUUGAUCUACCAAAUACAAUACGCUUAAUUUCUGAUACUUCUUGCACCAUGCCAUUGAACUUUUCUUCAAGCACUUGGGUCGCUUGCUCACAAGCUUGUAGUUUAGAAACCAAUUCAGGCUUACUUAAUGCUGGUCCUUGCAAAUCUCUUGCGCUGAUUCCCCACAUACAUAUCUGGGGAUAAAAUACCAUUGGGAAAUUACUAACCCAAAACACUCUCUGGAACAACCAAUAUAGAUGUUCAUUAACACCAAAAAAAUCAAGUAACAACCAGUAAAUAUUAAUGAUUUAUAAGUCAGCACAUAUAAAAGAACUAACAAAGAGGAACAAGUUUGCACUAUAUUAUGAUUUUAAGCACAGAUUAAUUGGAAUAUUUUUUUGUCUAAUUCGAGCAAAACAUAAGUUAUUUUGUUUCUUGGAAAUAAACCUUUAUGGUAGUUGUUAUAUGCCCAGCUAUUUUGUACACAUAUAUCCAACAAAUUAAUACCAAACAUUAUUCUCUAUUUUAAAAAAAUACCAUUCUCCUCAAGAGUAAGUGACAUACAUACCUCAAAACAGCCUCUUAGCUUUUCUUUGCCACCCUGGGGGAGAAGAGGAGCUUGUAAGUGGGGAGCAUACAAAAACAGAGCACGCCAGGAGACAUCAAUUUUUGAGAAUGUUCAGCUUACAAGAAAAACUUACAAUUACCUCGUCCCGGAGCGUCUAAAGUGGCAAUCUGCUCUUCGGAUUCUACCAAAUUGAAUCAAAAGAGAAAAAAAAAAUACAAAUCUAGGUAUACAAUACUAUAUAUUGCAAAUGAUAUAUUUUUAGACGUUAUUUCUCAAUAAUUAGGCAAUGCUUACAUGGACACAUCUCCAGAUGUAGGACUAAGAGUCAAUAGACCAUCCAUUGACGAGGUCAUUCUGAAAAUCAAACUUGUUAAGUCUUGUUUUCAGUUCAAACAAGCCAAAAUUAUUAAAUCAUGUACGUAUAAGUUAAAAAUAAUCAGGAGCCAAACAUAUCGUUAUCACUUUCAGAUCAGGCAAGUCAAACUAAUGUAUGUGCUGAAAAGUGUAUGCACAUACCUAAAUCCACACACAUCUCCAAGCAUCCAUUUGCAAGACUGACGCCAUCACCUCCACAAAGCUGCAUCCACGUUUACAUCUUCAGUUUCAAAAUGGAAAAAUCUAAAACAAAAUUGUCGAGUGAAGAAUUUAGUUAGUUAAUUACCUGGUACACGGCAGCCUUUGCACGUCCCGACAAUGCAUGUCCCCGAUAUCUGCCCUGUGCACGGCAUGCCAUAGACUACAACCUGAAUUCAGCCUCUGUUUUCGCACUGAGCAGUAGUUGCAUUCUUUCUCCUUCCUAGACAGCCGCGAACAUAUUGGCCGCCGCCUUCCCCUCCCAUCUAACGUCCUGAACCAAGAACGGCUGGGAAACCAUUAGUGAUCCACUCCAAAUAUCACCAGCCCACUACGAGAUACGGCCGAUGCGUUAGCAGCACUAACCCCAUCACCGAGCCAGAUCCGACAGAUACAGUAGCAGAAUUGGCCCCGUCACUGACCUAGAUCCGAUUGAUGCGGUAGCAGAACUGACGUCGGCAUUGAUCCUCUGGAUCCGGUUGUGUUGCUCAUCGAGCAUCCGACCAAGGAUGAAGCCUACUGCUCCAGUCGCAUGACCUCGACAACGAGCGUAUCUGGGUCGGUAUCCUGCGACGAGGAGGCGAGGGGACGAUGUGGGCAUCCUCCGCUCAUGGCGGUAGCGACGCCAUGGAGCGUCUCAAUCUGAGAGGGAUGCGCCCCCCUGGUUUACCUAGACGUGAGACUAUAGAGAUACUUAGACGUGAUUGUUAUUUACCUCCCUUUUUAUCUCCC